rnacentral:lncRNA from 1 species
GCAGGUUAAAAAAAAAAAAAAGAAAACAUCUGAUUGGAAAUUUCAGUGCAUUUCCCCCUAUAUCAUGUUACCAACACUAACAACUUUUGCCACUGAUAGUUGCUUAUAAAAUGAAAUCUGUAUAUGUGCUAACUGAAAUUAAUUUUUUUAAAAAACCUCUGCAGAUAAUACAAAAGCUUAAAAAAGACUUUGAACCCCCCAAAGGAAUGUUAUAAUCAGCAUACUUUAUUCAUAGCAAGUAACUCCUCCAAAUCCUACACAACCCACUUAUUCUUACUUUAAAUUCAUUUCUGGACAAAUGUGACAAUAUGGUUUCUUGGCCUAUAGGCACCCAGACCUAGAAAAUUAAAAUGGAGUGGCAGGCAACAUACCAGGCCUAAGGACUACUAUAGAAAACAAAUGGUUGGGAAAGGCAGUGAAAAGCUGUUAAAUGUGGCUAAAGGAACUUAAGGACAGGCCUGGUGGCUCACGCCUGUAAUCCCAACAGUUUGGGAGGCCGAGGUGGGUGGAUCACCUGAGGUCAGGAGUUUAAGACCAGCCUGGGCAACAUGGUGAAACCCCAUCUCUACCAAAAAUACAAAAAUCAGCUAGGCGUGGCAGCACAUGCCUGUAAUCCCAGCUAUUCGGGUGACUGAGGCAGGAGAAUCGCUUGAACCAGGGAGGCAGAUCACAGCACUGCACUCCAACUGGGCAACAGAGUGAGACUCCGUCUCAAAAAAAAUAAAAAACAAAUAAAGGAACUUAAAAUGCCCAGUAAUCUGGGUCAUUUGUUUAGGUAAAGAGAGCCAUACAUACAUCAGUCUCCCGAAAGGCCAUCCAUGACCUAUAACAUAGCCUAAUAACAUAAAGUUCAUUGUAAAAACCUGCCUUUGUCAGGAAAGGCCACAUUUUGUUCUGUAUGUUCAGUUUACAUAGACAUGGAAAUAAGCUAAAGAAUUCUCUUUUGUUCCAGCAUUAACUCUCUUUCUGCCUAUAGUACUUUUCUAUCUUCUUGGCAGGAAACCUUUUAUUCAGCUUCUAAUCUGAACCUAGCUCCUACUUCCUUCCCUGAAACAGAAAUUCCGGUAAUACAUCAAAAUAGUUUAAUAUUAGCUACAGGAAUACCAUCUACCUAAAGGUAAAACAUGAGAUUACAAAAUUCUAAAGAUAGAUGGAAACAGCCAAAGGAAUGAGGGCGGUCCAUGCCACUGACUACACACAGUAAAUGACUUCUACCACUUAUCAAGCACACAAUGUCUUUUUUCUGAAAGUAUUGCAUGAAAUAAAUGUACUUAAACUAUGACUCCAAAAUUACCUCAUGAAUGCUUAGCAAUCAGUAUUACGUCAGGAAAACAAUGUCUGCUUUCUAGGUUUGCAGUUUUUGUAAGAUAUCUUCAGCCCCUCCCAUACAUAAUUUAGAAAAAUAGCAAACUUCAGCACUGACACAAAAUUACCCAUCUCUACUGAUGGAAAAUGAUUACAAUUUAAAAUACUAAAAGAUACUGGGUAAGCUAAUUACUAAAAUUUGAAAACUCCACCAUCUAGUGGCACAAAUAUAACUUAUCAUCUACUUCCAUUAUGGAUACAACUUAAAUCAGUUUUAAAUAUUCAGUCACAAAAUUCAAUGACUAACAUUACUGCAGCAGUAAUGACAUAGAGUAUCUUUAAAAACAGCUUCAUCUUUUGCUAUACUACCUUAGGUAAGCAUUCAUUCUCUUCACUAAAGCACCUGUACCCAAAUGUGCCUUUCACAGCUCUACUUUGUGUACAUGCCAUUCCUUAAGCUUAGAAUGCCCAUUCUCACUUCACUGUCUAAUCAUUAGUCUUAAUGGCAAACUCCACAAUAAUGUAGUGCCUAUUAACCAUGUCACAUAUAUUAACUUAUUUAAUCCUUCCAAUAUUAUCCCCAUUCUACAGAUUUUUUUAAAGGAGCCACAGAAAUAUUAAUUUACUCAAGCUUCCAUAGCAAAUCAAUUGCAGAGCCAGGAUUUGAAUCCAGGCAGUCCAGAUCGAGCUCAUGUUCCUAUCAGGCUACACUGCCUCUCAAUCAGCGUGUACAUCUACUGUAUACAUUUACUAAUCCAUUUCCUUCUCUAGAUUGGAAGCAAAGAGGUAUGGCCAUUCUUAACUCAUUUUUUAAUCAAUUCUGAAUAACAUAAUAAUGGAAAAUUUUAACUGAGUGCAAAUUCCAGCUAGUAAUAUGACCUUGGGCAAGUUAAAUAAACCCUGUAGCCUCAGUUUACUUAUCUGUAAAAUAAAUCUAUGCUAUGCAGUGGUGCCAAAAAGAACAAUAAACAUAAGACACAGGGCAGAGGCUGGCACAGUGUAUUUUGCCAUUAGGAGUAUCUAUUAUUGUAGAAGUAUCUUAGGUGAGUAGCUAGAGAACUCAAAAUUUGGAAUCUUUACAAGAUAUGGGCUUGAAUCCUAAUUCUGAUACUAACUGCCUUUGUUUUGGGCAUGUUCCUUAACCUCUCUCAACUUUACUUCUCUCUGUAAAAUGAGGAUAUAAUCUACAAAUAGGGUAAUUAAUAUUAAAUAAAUUAACAUUAUAUAUAUAGUAGGCACUCAAGUUUGUUAAAUCAUAUUACCUGAACAGAAAUGUCAACUUCAAAGAGUCAAAACUGACUGUUUUAAACCCGCCUGAGGCCUAGAAGGUUGGCCUCAAUUCUCAAUGUUUCAGAAUGGGCUACUUACAACAGAACCUUGAAUUAUGUAUGAGAGCUCAUCAACUGAUUGCUGACUUCUGAUUCUUCCUGAGCUAGAAACUACUCACAUGUCCUCUGUAAACCAUGACCCGAGAAUUUGCUUGGAGCAGUCCAACUUGGACUUUUUCCUCUUCUUACCUCUUUCUCUUCUUGCCCUCCCCCUAGGCCAGGCAUCAUCUCCCUUAACCAGUCUAAUCCACAAUGAAAAUAAAGUCACUUUCAGCUUCUCAAUUUUUUCCUGGUUUCUCCAUGAUGAUACCACCCAUUUCCACUCCUUUGCAGGGUGGGUGCUCCUGCUGUUAUAUUGAAGUCACUCAACAGUAAAAUGAGACCAAUGACUAACAUCAUCUUGGGAGUGAUUAUUAUUCAGUGAGAUCAAAUGAUCAGGAAGCCAAUACUCAGAGGGGUUAACAAUCUGCCUAAGAUCAGUAACACAGAUAAUUGCUGGAGAAGCUAUAAAGAGAGCCCAGGUUUCCUGACUCCAAGUCCAGAGUGCAUUCCACAGGACAUGAUGGAGGUGCUGCUGACAUUAUCAGGAGAGAGGAACUGGUGAAGAAAGUGAAGGGGGCAAAAUCUUGUCUAAUAUUCAGCACUGCGGGCAGUCAAGUACCAGGCCUAAAAGACUGAGAAUCAGGAUGCUGCCAUGCUACACAAAUCAAGGGAAGACAAUGUCAGGAACUAACCCAAUGUGUCAAAUGUUGUACAGAUGUCAAACAGAACAAACGACGUCUCUCUUCCUAGAAAUCAGAAUAAAGCUAGUAACCUUUGAGACAAUUUUUGUAGAGUAGUAGAGGCCAAAGUUAGACUAUUGUGAACUUCACUAAAGUGAAGAGUAAAGCAAGGGGACGAAACUGAAGGCAGCCAAGACAGGACAAUUUUUCUCAAGAGACUUAAUAGUGAGACAUAGCAGGAUCAAAACAAGAAUUUGUACAAGCACACUUCACAUGCCCAUUUUCUUGCCUACAGGAGAGAUGGAGAAAUUAAAAAUUUCAAAGUGAAAGGUGUCAACUUUAUCCUAAUAUUGCUCGCUACUGCUUUUGCUCAUCGA